rnacentral:rRNA from 1 species
CUGGCUCAGGAUGAACGCUAGCGGCAGGCUUAACACAUGCAAGUCGAGGGGCAGCGGGAUGUAGCAAUACAUUGCCGGCGACCGGCGGAUGGGUGCGUAACGCGUAUGCAACCUACCUUAUACAGGGGAAUAACCUUUCGAAAGGGAGACUAACACCCCAUAGUAUUGAUUUAAGGCAUCUUAGAUUAAUUAAAUAUUUAUAGGUAUAAGAUGGGCAUGCGUAUGAUUAGCUAGUUGGUAAGGUAACGGCUUACCAAGGCGACGAUCAUUAGGGGUUCUGAGAGGAAGGUCCCCCACACUGGUACUGAGACACGGACCAGACUCCUACGGGAGGCAGCAGUGAGGAAUAUUGGUCAAUGGGCGCAAGCCUGAACCAGCCAUGCCGCGUGCAGGAAGACGGCCUUAUGGGUUGUAAACUGCUUUACAUAAGACUAACCGUAUAUUUGCGAAUAUACCUGAAUGUAUUAUGAGAAUAAGGAUCGGCUAACUCCGUGCCAGCCGCGGC